CAUUUUUUGGAAGUAAACAAAUAUUGAAGAAAGUGUUGUGCCUUCACAGAAUUUAAAUUGGCAUUAGGAAUAGAUUUCCUUGAUUUAGUAAUGAUAUUGCUCAUAGAAAUUGAUAAUGUGAAGAAUAACAAUACAGGAACAUAGAAUAACAAGAAAGAAAUUCUAGCAGCAAGUUAGGUUAUGAGAUAAAUUUUAUUUAUAUAGUUUGUUUAAAGAGUUUAGUUUGAAAAAAAGUUAAAACAAUUAUUAUUGUCCAGGUCAUAUUUGAUAACUGUUGUUAAUUGAUAACAUAUUACAGGGACACAGUAAAAAGACAAAACAUUUAGACCCUUUGAAAGAGAAAUGUUUGCAAUGGAUAUUAAUAAAUUCUAGCCAAUUUGUACGAUGUACAAUGCAGGCAAUAUUUCUGCCUCCUAACGCACUAUUCGCGUAAAAGAAGAUAACAGAUUUAUUAUUAGUUGGCUAGUGUGUUAGUAGGAUAGCCAUUGGUAGUUAUAAAGUAUGAAGUCGUCAGGUAUUAAUAAUAGGAAUUGAUCAAAGCUUAUACAUUUAUUGUGAUAUUUAUAUUGUGAAUUUAAGUAGUUAGAGUUUUGGUUGUUUAAUAAACGAAUUAAUGUGCUUAUUGUGUAUCUAAUUAAAAGAACAAUGAAAAGUUGAAUACCAUAGGGGUACGUAUGUUAUACAAAGAAUUUGCAUCAACAUUUUUUUGGUUAUAUACUUGUACUGAUAUUUGUUUCUUGAACUAAAGAAUUAUACAGUACCUACUACACAAUAUAAUAAUCUGCAGCUACAUAGGUAGGUAGCUGUUGGUAAUUAAAUUUUUUAUCUAAUAUAAUAUCUAACAUCAGAAAUAUUGUUAAUUAUCAACUAUAAACAACUAAGAACUAGAAUUAUCAACUAUAAACACAAUAUAAUAUACUGUAUCUUAAGCAAUAUGUAAUUAUUUAACAAUUAAUUUUUUUGGGAAAUAAAAACUGGUACUAAAUUC
rnacentral:lncRNA from 1 species